rnacentral:sRNA from 1 species
CCCAUCCACUUUAUCCGUCACUAUGACUCC